CCUAAAUACUUUUAUGGACAGAUUUCUGAGAUGGUGGCCACCAUGCGAGAAGGCUUGAAGUCACGUCAACCUUUUUUAACUGUGUAUGUGUCUAGUCUUGGUGAGAGCAAGUAUUCAAUUGGGGCACAGACUGUUUUGUGGAGCACCCUGUUUAACAGCGUUCACUUUUUUUGUUGGACACAAGUUGCUGAAAUGUGUCUACAUGUAAAAUGCAUAUGUAAGAAAUGAAUAACAGGGGUAAGAAGGAAUGGGCCCAUGGACAAAGGAUAAAAGCAUAUGUUCAAAGGAAAAUCAUAAACCCAUAAAUGGGUCAUGGAAAACAAAUGAAGC